rnacentral:tRNA from 2 species
GGUCGCGUAACUCAGUGGUAGAGUGCUACAUUGACAUUGUAGAAGUCGUUAGUUCAACUCUAAUCGUGACCACCA